GAUGAACGCUGGCGGCGUGCUUAACACAUGCAAGUCGAACGGUGAAGCAGAGCUUGCUCUGUGGAUCAGUGGCGAACGGGUGAAUAACACGUGAGCAACCUGCCCCUGACUCUGGGAUAAGCGCUGGAAACGGCGUCUAAUACUGGAUAUGAGCUGCGACCGCAUGGUCAGCAGUUGGAAAGAUUUUUCGGUCUGGGAUGGGCUCACGGCCUAUCAGCUUGUUGGUGAGGUAAUGGCUCACCAAGGCGUCGACGGGUAGCCGGCCUGAGAGGGUGACCGGCCACACUGGGACUGAGACACGGCCCAGACUCCUACGGGAGGCAGCAGUGGGGAAUAUUGCACAAUGGGCGAAAGCCUGAUGCAGCAACGCCGCGUGAGGGAUGACGGCCUUCGGGUUGUAAACCUCUUUUAGCAGGGAAGAAGCGAAAGUGACGGUACCUGCAGAAAAAGCGCCGGCUAACUACGUG
rnacentral:rRNA from 1 species